UAAAAUCAAAUGAAUUUCCUACGUAUAAUAUCGGGGAUAUGGCCCGAAAGUUUCUACCAGACUGCCGUAAAUGGUCUGACUACGGAGGAUUAUUGAAAUAUU
rfam:Fictibacillus arsenicus strain G25-54, complete genome.